GUGUCAGCCGCCGCGGUAAAACGUAGGAGCCUAGCGUUAUCCGAAUUUACUGGGCGUAAAGCGCGUGCAGGCGGCUUCAUAAGUUGGCUGUGAAAUCUCCCGGCUCAACUGGGAGGGGACGGUCAAGACUGUGAGGCUGGAGGCAGGGAGAGGGAGGUGGAAUUCCCGGUGUAGUGGUGAAAUGCGUAGAGAUCGGGAGGAACACCCGUGGCGAAAGCGGCCUCCUGGACCUGACCUGACGCUGAAACGCGAAAGCUAGGGGAGCGAACGGGAUUAGAAACCCCUGUAGUCC
rnacentral:rRNA from 1 species